ACUGAUUAGAAGCUUGCUUCUAUGACGUUAGCGGCGGACGGGUGAGUAACACGUGGGCAACCUGCCUGUAAGACUGGGAUAACUUCGGGAAACCGAAGCUAAUACCGGAUAGGAUCUUCUCCUUCAUGGGAGAUGAUUGAAAGAUGGUUUCGGCUAUCACUUACAGAUGGGCCCGCGGUGCAUUAGCUAGUUGGUGAGGUAACGGCUCACCAAGGCAACGAUGCAUAGCCGACCUGAGAGGGUGAUCGGCCACACUGGGACUGAGACACGGCCCAGACUCCUACGGGAGGCAGCAGUAGGGAAUCUUCCGCAAUGGACGAAAGUCUGACGGAGCAACGCCGCGUGAGUGAUGAAGGCUUUCGGGUCGUAAAACUCUGUUGUUAGGGAAGAACAAGUACGAGAGUAACUGCUCGUACCUUGACGGUACCUAACCAGAAAGCCACGGCUAACUACGUGCCAGCAGCCGCGGUAAUACGUAGGUGGCAAGCGUUAUCCGGAAUUAUUGGGCGUAAAGCGCGCGCAGGCGGUUUCUUAAGUCUGAUGUGAAAGCCCACGGCUCAACCGUGGAGGGUCAUUGGAAACUGGGGAACUUGAGUGCAGAAGAGAAAAGCGGAAUUCCACGUGUAGCGGUGAAAUGCGUAGAGAUGUGGAGGAACACCAGUGGCGAAGGCGGCUUUUUGGUCUGUAA
rnacentral:rRNA from 1 species